rnacentral:tRNA from 1 species
GUUGUUGCUCAGUGGUUAGAGCGCUUGCCUAGUAUGCGUGAGGCACUGGGUUCAUUCCCCAGUACCACA